GGAAGGAUCAUUAACAAAUCUAUACACACGAUCUCUCGGCUUAACGGCUGGGAGACUCGACACACGAUAACUGUUGACGAACAUUGAGACGAUCAAUAUAAUCAACUUUUAACAAUGGAUCUCUUGGCUCUUGCAGCGAUGAAGAACGCAGCGAACUGCGAAAAGUAAUGUGACCUGCAAACUUUGUGAAACAUCCAAUCUUUGAACGCAACUUGCACCUGAUAGCAUUUGUUAUCAGGUAUACUUGUUUGAGUAUCAUUAACACUCUCUCACAACUCUGUGGGGAAUUGAGCGUCUUUAAGGAGUCGCUUUAAAGUGAGACUUGUAGUGCAUCUGGACACUAUGGUCUAUUGGGAUAACAUCCUAACAAUAGACUGUCCGUGAAGCGAGCUGUUUAAUCAGCAACAGGUUUUGUCAUUUUAUGACACUUUAAACACUGAUCUCAAAUCAAGUAAGGAUACCCGCUGAAUUUAAGCAUAUUAAUAAGCGGAGGAAAAGAAACUAACAAGGAUUCCCCUAGUAGCGGCGAGCGAAGAGGGAAGAGCUCAAAUUUAAAAUCUGGUACCUUUGGUAUCCGAAUUGUAUUUGAUAGGGCUAUUCUUCGUGAUCAGCUGUGACCAAAGUCCUUUGGAACAAGGCAACAAAGAGGGUGAUAUUCCCGUCUUGGUCAUGGAUUGUGAGCGGUAUAAGAAUGGUUCAACGAGUCGGAUUGCUUGGGAAUGCAGUCCAAAAUGGGUGGUACACGCCAUCUAAAGCUAAAUAACGGCAAGAGACCGAUAGCGAACAAGUACCGUGAGGGAAAGAUGAAAAGAACUUUGAAAAGAGAGUUAAAUAGUACGUGAAAUUGUUAAAAGGGACCCGAUUGAGAUCAGUGAUGUCUAUUGCAUUUCAGCUUGUCAGAAGAUGAGUGUAUUGUGCAAUAGACAAGUCGACUCUCCUUUGAGCUCUUGGAAAAGGCUGUGGGAAAUGUGGCACUGCUUGCAGUUGCUUUAUAGUCCCACGGAGAUACAAGAGAACAGAGGAGACCUCAAGGAUAUCCAAGUCGACGAAAUGGUCUUAAACGACCCGUCUUGAAACACGGACCAAGGAGUCUAACAACUAUGCGAGUAUUUGAGUGGCAAACUCGAGUGCGCAAAGAAAUUGAACACGUGGGAUUAGGGAAGCUAUGGCUUUUCUAUGCACCAUGGGCCGGUCCUUGUCGUUGACUUGGAUUGAGCUAGAGCAUAUCUGUUGGGACCCGAAAGAUGGUGAACUAUGCCUGAAUAGGGUGAAGCCAGAGGAAACUCUGGUGGAGGCUCGUAGACAUUCUGACGUGCAAAUCGAUGUUCAAAUUUGGGUAUAGGGGCGAAAGACUAAUCGAACCAUCUAGUAGCUGGUUCCCUC
rnacentral:misc_RNA from 1 species